rnacentral:rRNA from 1 species
AAGAGGGAAGAGCUCAUCAUUGGAAUCUGACAGCGUUACGCUGUCCGAGUUGUAGAUGAGGAGUAGUCCAUCUGGACUGCAUGGCGUCCAAGUACAAUAGGCCGUCAGUGGGACAUCAUAGAGGGUGACAAUCCCGUCCUUGAUGCCAAUGUGCAAGUCCGUUACGAUGGCUAUCUCAGAGAGUCGAGCAGUUUGGGAUUUGCUGCUUAAACAUGGGAGGUAGAUUCCUUCUAAAGCUAAAUACAGGCGAGAGACCGAUAGAGAACAAGUACCGCAAGGGAAAGAUGAAAUAGAACUCUGUGAAGGGAGUCAAAAGGCGUGAAAUUGUUGCGAGAGAAGCGAUUCAAGUCAGCGUAGCUAGGCCCAUCAAGCCUCUUUGUGCUUUGGACUAUCUUUGCCAGCGGUCUUGUCCCUUAGAGACUUGACUUUUUUAUAAUGCCAGGAGCCAGUGCCCUCCUCUAUGGGGUCUUAAACACGGACCAAGGAGUCUAACAUGUAUGCGAGUAUAAGGGUGGCAAACCCGUAUGCGCAAUGAAAGUAACUUUCGAUGAUUGAGAAUGGCCUGAUGACCAGACAAGCAAUAUAUUCAUGUCCCUCGUACGGCCAUUGCCCAAGUUCCGUGGUAGAUCCCAUGAACAUGGAGUUGGAGCAUACAUGCUAGGACCCGAAAGAUGGUGAACUAUGCCUGGACAAAGCGAAGCCAAAGGAAACUCUGGUGGAGGCUUGUAGCGAUUCUGACGUGCAAAUCGAUCGUCUGAUCUGGGUAUAGGGGCGAAAGACUAAUCGAACCAUCUCAUAGCUGGUUCCUGCCGAAGUUUCCCUCAGGAUAGCAGAGACCUAGUGGAAGUUGCAUGUGGUAAAGCGAAUGAUUAUUGAUCCUGGGGCUCAAAUGGGCCUCAGUCUAUUCUCAAACUGUGAAUGCGUGCGGUUGGACUGUGCUUAGCAAUAGAAGCCCUGCCAGCAAUGCUUCAGUCUCUAGUGGGCCGUUUCUGGUAAGCAGAACUGGCGAUGCGGGAUGAACCGAAAGCGAGGUUAAAGUGCCAGAAUGCACACUAAUCAGAGAUAAAAGGUGUAUGUGCAUGGACACAGCAGGGCAGUGGCCAUGGAGGUUGGCAUCUGCUAAGGAGUGUGUAACAACUCACCUGCCUAAUGUACUUGCCCUGAAAAUGGAUGGCGCUCAAGUGUGUUACUCAUACCUCGCCAUCAGUCUC